UGAAGGCAAACGCUCAACCGACUGAGCCACCCAGGCACCCUACUCUCUUAGACUAUUGUUAAGUAGAAAUGUUGAGCUCCUUGUCAUGAAGAAAGGAAACAGAAAUGUACAGGAUAGCAAGCCUUGGAAAAGUAGGAAACCAAGGUUUAAAUGGUAAAGGUUUGAGUUGAAGAAUGAGGGAAGGAGCUCAGUUGCAGGUAUAAAAGGAUUACUGAUCAGCAUUCAAUGCACAGCUGAAUUGAGAGCAUGAUCUUGUAGUGGCACCAUCUGUAUGAUUAUGUACUACUUCCAGUACUGUUCUUCAGCUUGAAUGGAGGAGAAAGAAGAGGUUGGAUAGUCCUGGCAGGAGUAAAUACAUCAAUGAAUUGAGCCCAAUUAGAGUAGGAAAUAAAGCCAAAAGGACUGAAGAGAAGAGCAUGGUCAAGGGACUAGAGGUCUUUGUGGCACCAAAGAAAGGGCAUAAUGGGAAUAAAGCCAAGAUUUAGAUAUGAAAGACCAGGGCAUUGAAAUUUAAGAUUUUAGGAGUAAUGCAGCUUGCAGUGUUUGGAAAUGGCUGUAGUAGAUCGCUGAAUUAGAAUGUAUAUGAAAGUUACUGGAGUUGAAAAAUUUAAAGAAUUUUUGUCUAAUUUAUUGAAUGGACUGUGUACAGAAGAUAUCCCUAGUAGAACUGGGUAUAAGGAGACAGAGUCAAGUGCUGAAGUCCUUAAUUAAGAGGUUUGUCAGGGAGCAUGCUUCCAGGCUAUGUGGGACAUGUAAGGAUUUGGGGGAAGUAGUUUCUUGUAUCCUCUUGGCCCAGAAGUCUUGGGAGAUCCGGAUUCAGUUAAGGUUUCAGAAUACAAAUUUGUGAAGUAGCAAACAGCUCUAGAGAUAACUCUUUAAAGAACAUAAUAGAAUUGAAAUGCUUAAGCAGAAGUCAGGGAGAGGAAUUAGAAUAGUAAGAAUGGAGAUAGUAGGGAGAGGGCAUUUAUAGUGACCAAGAAGAGAGAGAAGCUUUGAAUACUUCAAGACCAAGGCUACAGUCUAACAAGAAUCUGCUGUUUCUAGCUCUCCCAGGCCUAGUCCCAUGUAUCAGAUCUGCUAAUGAUAGUAACAGUUAAUACUUGUUGGCUGCCACUAUGUGCUAGACUGUGCUUAAGAGCUUUCCUUGUAUUUCCAUUUAUUGUUAACAUCAAUUCUUAGGUGCUCAUAUUCUCAUUUUAAAAUGAAAUUGAAUAAGAUGAGGAAAGGCUAAGUAUCUUGCCUAGUAUGUGGCAUAGCCGAGAGUUGAAACUAUGUUCAUUGACUCCAGAGCUUGUAUAUGCCUUUAUUUGGAAAACAUAGGCUGCCAAAUGAAGUAACAAGUUGCUCGGUGUCUUUAUUUGGAAUGAUGUAAAAAAAUGUCGUGGUAGCUGAAGAGAAUUCUCCCCCAGGCGAUUAGUAUAUGAUUUGUAAAUGGUAUUUUUAAUGUUAUAUACACAUAUAUAUUGUCUGUUGUUGUUUACGGUUAAUAUUGAUUCCAAAGGGGGAAAAAAAAAAGAACUUCUGGCAUCAAGUCUGGCACCAUGAAGAAGGUAGCUGUGUUGAUGAAGCUCCCCAGCCAAAGUUGAUGAGCCAGAAGUAUGAGAGGCAACAGCUGUUCUGCUAGAAGUGAAAUGACCAGAAACAUCCAGAAUGUUCAAUGUAAUGGUGUGAGCCUUUCUACCACAAAAUGGUGGGUUGUGUGUAAUCACUGAGAUUUUAACAGUGUUAUUCUUUCUCUCUAAGCCAGUAUUCCCAACAAUGAGAGAAAAAUUGAAUUUUGAUUUUAAAACUGUCAGCAGAAACCCAGUCCUAUAGGAUGUAUACAUUUUUUUUCUUUCCCUUUUCGUUGACCAAGCACUUAACAUCUGUGUAGGCAGCUUUUCUCAGAAGUACAACACUAAAGCGAAGGGCAGACAUGCUCCAUUUGUCAGAGCUUUCAGGUCUUUGGUACAUUGAAUUGGGCUGUCAGGGGAGCAACAGUUAAAGUACUGAGCUCAAAGACCCUAGAAGGGAGGCUUGGGAAGCCAAAGACUGAAAUCUGGCGUUAUCUAUCUCAUAUGGGCAAUAGAUUAUAUUUAAUAAACAAUUGUGUCAGACCUCUGAGUUCAUUAUAUGUCAACUCAUUUAAUCACAACCAUAGAAAGGAAGUAGCUGGUAUUGGAGGUAAUUGUCAACGUUUUUAUUCAGAUGUCACCACCUGACUCAUCUAUUCUGAAAGACCCAUGUGCUCUUACUGAGGUUAAACCUAGAAUACUGCUUGAAGGAAAAUUUAAAUUGUAGUUACAAUGGUAGAUAUGUGCGUGUACACAUACACACAUGUAUACCUUCAGAGAAAGUAAACAUUGUAGUAGAUUUCAUAAUUCUGUUAGAAUGGGAAGAAAGACCAUCUGACCAUUUUGAUUUGGUAAAAUCUGCAUCUAAAUCCUGUUAUUACUUUGCUUUCCCAUCUUUAUCAGAGGCCAUGUUCAUAUUGACUUCACAAAAAAAAAUUACGUACACUCCUUUUCAGCAAACGUAUGCAUGUUCUAUUCAAUAAAUAUUCAGAUGUUUUUUAAGUA